rnacentral:rRNA from 1 species
GUUUGAUCAUGGCUCAGAUUGAACGCUGGCGGCAUGCCUUACACAUGCAAGUCGAACGGUAACGCGGGGCAACCUGGCGACGAGUGGCGAACGGGUGAGUAAUAUAUCGGAACGUGCCCAGUAGUGGGGGAUAGCCCGGCGAAAGCCGGAUUAAUACCGCAUACGACCUACGGGUGAAAGGGGGGGAUCGCAAGACCUCUCGCUAUUGGAGCGGCCGAUAUCAGAUUAGGUAGUUGGUGGGGUAAAGGCCUACCAAGCCGACGAUCUGUAGCUGGUCUGAGAGGACGACCAGCCACACUGGGACUGAGACACGGCCCAGACUCCUACGGGAGGCAGCAGUGGGGAAUUUUGGACAAUGGGCGCAAGCCUGAUCCAGCCAUGCCGCGUGCGGGAAGAAGGCCUUCGGGUUGUAAACCGCUUUUGUCAGGGAAGAAAUCUUUCGGGCUAAUACCCUGGAGGGAUGACGGUACCUGAAGAAUAAGCACCGGCUAACUACGUGCCAGCAGCCGCGGUAAUACGUAGGGUGCGAGCGUUAAUCGGAAUUACUGGGCGUAAAGCGUGCGCAGGCGGUGAUGUAAGACAGUUGUGAAAUCCCCGGGCUCAACCUGGGAACUGCAUCUGUGACUGCAUCGCUGGAGUGCGGCAGAGGGGGAUGGAAUUCCGCGUGUAGCAGUGAAAUGCGUAGAUAUGCGGAGGAACACCGAUGGCGAAAGCAAUCCCCUGGGCCUGCACUGACGCUCAUGCACGAAAGCGUGGGAGCAAACAGGAUUAGAUACCCUGGUAGUCCACGCCCUAAAC